rnacentral:rRNA from 1 species
GACGAACGCUGGCGGCGCGCCUAACACAUGCAAGUCGAACGGAGUCAAGAGGAGCUUGCUUUUCUUGACUUAGUGGCGAACGGGUGAGUAACGCGUGAGUAACCUGCCCUGGAGUGGGGGACAACAGUUGGAAACGACUGCUAAUACCGCAUAAGCCCACGGCCCGGCAUCGGGCUGAGGGAAAAGGAUUUAUUCGCUUCAGGAUGGACUCGCGUCCAAUUAGCUAGUUGGUGAGGUAACGGCCCACCAAGGCGACGAUUGGUAGCCGGACUGAGAGGUUGAACGGCCACAUUGGGACUGAGACACGGCCCAGACUCCUACGGGAGGCAGCAGUGGGGGAUAUUGCACAAUGGGGGAAACCCUGAUGCAGCGACGCCGCGUGGAGGAAGAAGGUUUUCGGAUUGUAAACUCCUGUCGUUAGGGACGAUAAUGACGGUACCUAACAAGAAAGCACCGGCUAACUACGUGCCAGCAGCCGCGGUAAAACGUAGGGUGCAAGCGUUGUCCGGAAUUACUGGGUGUAAAGGGAGCGCAGGCGGACCGGCAAGUUGGAAGUGAAAACUAUGGGCUCAACCCAUAAAUUGCUUUCAAAACUGCUGGCCUCGAGUAGUGCAGAGGUAGGUGGAAUUCCCGGUGUAGCGGUGGAAUGCGUAGAUAUCGGGAGGAACACCAGUGGCGAAGGCGACCUACUGGGCACCAACUGACGCUGAGGCUCGAAAGCAUGGGUAGCAAACAGGAUUAGAUACCCUGGUAGUCCAUGCCGUAAACGAUGAUUACUAGGUGUUGGAGGAUUGACCCCUUCAGUGCCGCAGUUAACACAAUAAGUAAUCCACCUGGGGAGUACGACCGCAAGGUUGAAACUCAAAGGAAUUGACGGGGGCCCGCACAAGCAGUGGAGUAUGUGGUUUAAUUCGAAGCAACGCGAAGAACCUUACCAGGUCUUGACAUCCGAUGCAUAGUGCAGAGAUGCAUGAAGUCCUUCGGGACAUCGAGACAGGUGGUGCAUGGUUGUCGUCAGCUCGUGUCGUGAGAUGUUGGGUUAAGUCCCGCAACGAGCGCAACCUUUAUUGCCAGUUACUACGUAAGAGGACUCUGGCGAGACUGCCGUUGACAAAACGGAGGAAGGUGGGGAUGACGUCAAAUCAUCAUGCCCUUUAUGUCCUGGGCUACACACGUACUACAAUGGCUGUAACAAAGGGAAGCUAAGCCGCGAGGUGGAGCAAAACCCAAAAAAGCAGUCUCAGUUCGGAUUGAAGGCUGAAAUUCGCCUUCAUGAAGCCGGAAUUGCUAGUAAUCGCGGAUCAGCAUGCCGCGGUGAAUACGUUCCCGGGCCUU